rnacentral:rRNA from 1 species
GGUUAAGUGACUAAGCGUACACGGUGGAUGCCUUGGCAGUCAGAGGCGAUGAAAGACGUAGUAACUUGCGAUAAGCCCAGAUUAGGUAGUAACAACCAUUUGAGUCUGGGAUUUCUGAAUGGGGAAACCCACGUGCAUAAGCACGUAUCCUUACCUGAAUACAUAGGGUAAGGAGGCGAACCGGGGGAACUGAAACAUCUAAGUACCCCGAGGAAAAGAAAUCAACCGAGAUUCCGAAAGUAGCGGCGAGCGAAAUUGGACUAGCCCUUAAGCUUUACACGCGUUAGACGAACGGUCUGGAAAGUCCGACGAUACAGGGUGAUAGUCCCGUAGUUGACGACGUGUGUUCAGUGAAAUCGAGUAGGGCGGGACACGUGAUAUCCUGUCUGAAUAUGGGGGGACCAUCCUCCAAGGCUAAAUACUACUGACUGACCGAUAGUGAACCAGUACCGUGAGGGAAAGGCGAAAAGAACCCCUGUGAGGGGAGUGAAAUAGAACCUGAAACCGUGUACGUACAAGCAGUAGGAGCAGGCUUUGUCCUGUGACUGCGUACCUUUUGUAUAAUGGGUCAGCGACUUAUAUUCAGUGGCAAGGUUAACCAUCUAGGGGAGCCGUAGGGAAACCGAGUCUUAACUGGGCGUUCAGUCUCUGGAUAUAGACCCGAAACCAGGUGAUCUAGCCAUGGGCAGGUUGAAGGUUGAGUAACAUCAACUGGAGGACCGAACCGACUAAUGUUGAAAAAUUAGCGGAUGACUUGUGGCUAGGGGUGAAAGGCCAAUCAAACCUGGAGAUAGCUGGUUCUCCCCGAAAGCUAUUUAGGUAGCGCCUCGGACGAAUACUACUGGGGGUAGAGCACUGUUAAGGCUAGGGGGUCAUCCCGACUUACCAACCCUUUGCAAACUCCGAAUACCAGUAAGUACUAUCCGGGAGACACACGGCGGGUGCUAACGUCCGUCGUGGAGAGGGAAACAACCCAGACCGCCAGCUAAGGUCCCAAAUUACUACUAAGUGGGAAACGAUGUGGGAAGGCUCAGACAGCCAGGAUGUUGGCUUAGAAGCAGCCAUCAUUUAAAGAAAGCGUAAUAGCUCACUGGUCGAGUCGGCCUGCGCGGAAGAUGUAACGGGGCUAAGUAGUAAACCGAAGCUGCGGCAAUGUGCUUUUGCACAUUGGGUAGGGGAGCGUUCUGUAAGCGGUUGAAGGUGUGUGGUAACGCAUGCUGGACGUAUCAGAAGUGCGAAUGCUGACAUGAGUAACGAUAAAGGGGGUGAAAAACCUCCUCGCCGGAAGACCAAGGGUUCCUGUCCAACGUUAAUCGGGGCAGGGUAAGUCGACCCCUAAGGCGAGGCCGAAAGGCGUAGUCGAUGGGAAACGGGUUAAUAUUCCCGUACUUCUUACAAUUGCGAUGGGGGGACGGAGAAGGCUAGGUGGGCCUGGCGACGGUUGUCCAGGUUCAAGUGCGUAGGCUUAAGAGUUAGGUAAAUCCGGCUCUUUUUAAGGCUGAGACACGACGUCGAGCACCUACGGGUGUGAAGUCAUUGAUGCCAUGCUUCCAGGAAAAGCCUCUAAGCUUCAGAUUGUAAGGAAUCGUACCCCAAACCGACACAGGUGGUCGGGUAGAGAAUACCAAGGCGCUUGAGAGAACUCGGGUGAAGGAACUAGGCAAAAUGGUACCGUAACUUCGGGAGAAGGUACGCUCUCGACGGUGAAGUCCCUCGCGGAUGGAGCUAUUGAGAGUCGCAGAUACCAGGUGGCUGCAACUGUUUAUUAAAAACACAGCACUGUGCAAAAUCGUAAGAUGACGUAUACGGUGUGACGCCUGCCCGGUGCCGGAAGGUUAAUUGAUGGGGUUAGACUUCGGUCGAAGCUCUUGAUCGAAGCCCCGGUAAACGGCGGCCGUAACUAUAACGGUCCUAAGGUAGCGAAAUUCCUUGUCGGGUAAGUUCCGACCUGCACGAAUGGCGUAAUGAUGGCCACGCUGUCUCCACCCGAGACUCAGUGAAAUUGAAAUCGCUGUGAAGAUGCAGUGUACCCGCGGCUAGACGGAAAGACCCCGUGAACCUUUACUACAGCUUGGCACUGAACAUUGACCCUACAUGUGUAGGAUAGGUGGGAGGCUUUGAAGCAGGUACGCCAGUAUCUGUGGAGCCGUCCUUGAAAUACCACCCUUGUAGUGUUGAUGUUCUAACGUCGACCCCUUAUCGGGGUUGCGGACAGUGCCUGGUGGGUAGUUUGACUGGGGCGGUCUCCUCCCAAAGAGUAACGGAGGAGCACGAAGGUGGGCUAAUCACGGUUGGACAUCGUGAGGUUAGUGCAAUGGCAUAAGCCCGCUUGACUGCGAGAAUGACAAUUCGAGCAGGUGCGAAAGCAGGUCAUAGUGAUCCGGUGGUUCUGAAUGGAAGGGCCAUCGCUCAACGGAUAAAAGGUACUCCGGGGAUAACAGGCUGAUACCGCCCAAGAGUUCAUAUCGACGGCGGUGUUUGGCACCUCGAUGUCGGCUCAUCACAUCCUGGGGCUGAAGUCGGUCCCAAGGGUAUGGCUGUUCGCCAUUUAAAGUGGUACGCGAGCUGGGUUUAGAACGUCGUGAGACAGUUCGGUCCCUAUCUGCCGUGGGCGUUGGAAGAUUGAAGGGGGCUGCUCCUAGUACGAGAGGACCGGAGUGGACGAACCUCUGGUGUUCGGGUUGUGUCGCCAGACGCAUUGCCCGGUAGCUAAGUUCGGAAUCGAUAACCGCUGAAAGCAUCUAAGCGGGAAGCGAGCCCUGAGAUGAGUCUUCCCUGAUACUUUAAGUAUCCUAAAGGGUUGUCGGAGACUACGACGUUGAUAGGUCAGGUGUGUAAGUGCUGUGAGGCAUUGAGCUAACUGAUACUAAUUGCCCGUGAGGCUUAACCAU